GAUGAACGCUAGCGGCAGGCUUAAUACAUGCAAGUCGAGGGACAGCACAGGUAGCAAUACUGGGUGGUAACCGGCAAACGGGUGCGGAACACGUACACAACCUUCCUUUAAGUGGGGGAUAGCCCAGAGAAAUUUGGAUUAAUACCCCGUAAUAUAGUUGAAUGGCAUCAUUUGAUUAUUAUAGCUACGGCGCUUAAUGAUGGGUGUGCGGCUGAUUAGAUAGUUGGCGGGGUAACGGCCCACCAAGUCUACGAUCAGUAGCUGAUGUGAGAGCAGGAUCGUCCACACGGGAACUGAGACACAGGCCCGACUCCUACGGGAGGCAGCAGUAAGGAAUAUUGGUCAAUGGACGCAAGUCUGAACCAGCCAUGCCGCGUGAAGGAUUAAGGUCCUCUGGAUUGUAAACUUCUUUUAUUUGGGACGAAAAAGGGCCUUUCUAGGUCAACUGACGGUACCAGAUGAAUAAGCACCGGCUAACUCCGUGCCAGCCGCCGCCGUAAUAC
rnacentral:rRNA from 1 species